UCCGGUUUGUCACCGGCAGUCCCAUUAGAGUGCUCAACUAAAUGUGGCAACUAAUGGCAAGGGUUGCGCUCGUUGCGGGACUUAACCCAACAUCUCACGACACGAGCUGACGACAGCCAUGCAGCACCUAUACAGCGGCCCUUGCGGGCACCAACCUUUCAGCUGGCUUCCACUGCAUUUCGAGCCCAGGUAAGGUUCUUCGCGUUGCGUCGAAUUAAACCACAUGCUCCACCGCUUGUGCAGGCCCCCGUCAAUUUCUUUGAGUUUUAACCUUGCGGCCGUACUCCCCAGGCGGAUGACUUAACGCGUUAGCUGCGCCACCGAAACGCUAAGCGCCCCGACAGCUAGUCAUCAUCGUUUACGGCGUGGACUAC
rnacentral:misc_RNA from 1 species